UACGUAGGGGGCAAGCGUUGUCCGGAUUUCUUGGGCGUAAAGAGCGUGUAGGCGGCCAGACAGGUCCGUUGUGAAAACUCGAGGCUCAACCUCGAGAUGUCGAUGGAAACCGUCUGGCUAGAGUCCGGAAGAGGAGUGUGGAAUUCCUGGUGUAGCGGUGAAAUGCGCAGAUAUCAGGAAGAACACCUAUGGCGAAGGCAGCACUCUGGGACGGUACUGACGCUGAGACGCGAAAGCGUGGGGAGCGAACAGG
rnacentral:rRNA from 1 species